rnacentral:rRNA from 1 species
UACGUAGGGUCCAAGCGUUGUUCGGAAUUACUGGGCGUAAAGCGCGCGUAGGCGGGUUUGAAAGUCGAUUGUGAAAGCCCAGGGCUCAACCUUGGAAUUGCAGUCGAAACUUCAAAUCUUGAAUGUCUGAGAGGAUGGCGGAAUUCCCGGUGUAGUAGUGAAAUACGUAGAUAUCGGGAAGAACACCUGAGGCGAAGGCGGCUAUCUGGCGGUACAUUGACGCUGAGGCGCGAAAGCGUGGGGAGCAAACAGG